UGUGAAACUGAACUUGAGGGUGAUGAC
rnacentral:piRNA from 1 species